UUCACCACACACUGAAACGAAUAACUUCCACCAAUUUGAAUCGAUUUUGGCCGCUUAAACCUAAACUCAACUUUGUCUGCACCAAUAUCUCUAACAAAUUUCGGCGCCAAAUCAGCCGGUUUAGGGUUUAAGGACCUGUGUAUCUUCGGGGAUUUUAUUGAUGCAUUCUUUGAUAGAUAAAACAGUAUCAUCAACGGUUUUAGUGGUUAAUGAUGAGUAAUCGAGUUGGACUUCUUUCAAUAGCUCAGCUACCUUUAAGUUGAGGGUGUCUGUGUACUCCUCGACGGCAGCCAUGGUGGUGGAGCCAAGGAACGUUGGACCGGCGGCUGUGGCAAAGAUGAAAGAACAGUAA
rnacentral:lncRNA from 1 species